GAAAAAGCAGAUUUGGUUGGCUGAGCAAAACUGAUCAUUCAAUUCAAUUUAUGUUGAUUAACAACAAUUUCAUAUAUCAAACAUUUAGAGUUAACACAAAAGGCCCAAUGGCUCCAGGAGUCUGCAGUAGUGAUGAGAAUUCCACGUUUUCUGUCACAUGAAAAAGAGGAACAACCCUGAAUACCAGUGGCCUGAAGUGUUUUUUUUUUUUGAGAACACUAGAUUCUUUGCCCCCAGACUCACAAGUAUAAAAAUAGGUUUUCCUCAGAUGCCACUGGAUACAGCCCAUAAUGCCAGGCAGCUGAAUAGCAGACAUUAGCUGUGGAUCAACAAGUCCUUGUGCAUACCUCCAGCUCAGGCCAUGAUAUUUAUGGCUCCAUUUCUGACCAAGGCCCUCUGUUUUGUCAGUCAACCGAUAGCUGUUUUGGAGAUAGCUGUUUUUGCACACUUACACAAGUUCAUUGUACAAGUGAAGCUCACCUUCAGGCCAAGACAAAUAACAUUUGUGUGAGUGUAUUACAUAUGUAAAUUUUGCUAAAAUUAGUUGGAACCCAAGAAACUGAUCUCCAUCAGUAGGUUAGAGCAGAGUGUUGUUGACCUAAAUACACUGCUUUGAAAACAAGCUGGGUGAGCCAACUCAGGCCACAUGAUAUCUGUUCUGCUCUGACUGUGUUGCAAUGACUCCCUCCCCAUGUGCUUCCUGGAAAGUUAAUAUAUAAUGUUGUAUUUAUGUUCAAAUGGGGCUCCUAGCAGUGGGGGGUGGAGGUCUGAAGGUGCCUACUUGGUAUUUAUAUCCAAAUGUCAAAUCCAGAUUAACCAACAAGCACCUUUGUAUUCCGUUUUCAUUUGCAGUGUUUGGAUAAAUACUAGACCCACAGUAACGAAAGCUGUACAUACUAGUGAUAGCACAAACAAAUAAGUCAGUCAUCACAAGAUGGAUUGGGUAAGUGGGUUAAAGGUUAUGAGCAGAGAACAGAAACUACACUUAAGUGAAAACAACCAUGGAGGAGAUGGCCUUUUCUGCUCCCCCUUUUUCAGUUUUUGGUGACGCAGAAAGAGAAAAAAAAAAAAAAAAAAAAAAAACAGUCCACCCACUAAACCGCAAGCACCGAUUGGUCGUUUCAGCACUUUCUAAUGUGCAUUAAACUACAGUUUGGCUCGGUAAUCAUUAAACAAGAAACACUGGGAAUCAAUCAGACUGCCCCGGUUUCGACAAAAUAGAUUUGCAGAUGACACCACAGGGGUGGGUCUCAUAUUGGACAAUGAUGAGACCACCUAGAGAGAGGAGAUUCAGCACCUGACACAAUGGUCAUCCUCAUCCUGAACACUAGCAAAACCAAGGAAGUCAUUGUGGAUCACAGGAGGUCCAGGAAGACAGAACACGCUUCACUCCUCAUACACGUGGAGGCGGUGGAGCGUGUGGAUAACAUCAAGUUCCUGGGUAUCCACAUCACAUCUGAUCUAACCUGGUCUCUGAACACAUCCCACCUGGUGAAGAAAGCCCAACAAAGGCUCUUCUUCCUCAGGAAGUUGAAACGGGCUGGACUCUCCUCUCGGCUGCUCGCAAACUUCUACAGAGCCACAAUAGAAACCAUCCUCACACUCAUUCACUGUGCCUUGAAACUGGAACGUGCGCUGUGCUGCACUUUUGUACGUUCCUCUGCUGCUAAGAUCCAUUGUACAUUUCAUUUUAUUCAUCGCACAUUUUAUUCUGUUUAUUUGAUCUUAUUCUAUUUUAUUUUAUUCUAUUCUUAUCUUACUUUAUUUUUAUUUUUCUGUACAUAUAUAUAUAUAGUGUGUCUAGCUGUUUUUUUCUGUCUGUAUAUUUUAAAGUAUGGUGUCUUUGUCUUUUUCUUAUGCCGAAAGCUACCAAACAAAAUUGUGUUAUGUGGUGCAUAAUGACAAUAAAGAAUUCUUGAUUCUUGA